rnacentral:lncRNA from 1 species
AUUGAGGUGGGAUCAGUCUGAUUCUGUAAGCUGUGUUUUCAGCCACAACAUUUACUGCAAACUUGGAGUAGGUAAUUAUGAAGUUCCUUUAACUUGCUGUGGAGGUUGAAUGAGCUCUAGAGUAAGGGGUCCGCAACCCCGGUACCGGUCCAUGGCCUGUUCGGAACCAGGCCACGCAGCAGGAGUUGAAAGGUGGGUGAGCUAGCGAAGCUUCAUCUGUAUGUACAGCCACUCCCCACUGCUCACAUUACCACCUGAGCUCUGCCUUCUGUCAGAUCAGUGGUGGCAUUAGAUGCUCGUAGGAAUGCAAACCCUAUUGUGAACUGCGCAUGCAAGGGAUCUAGGUUGCAUGCUCCUUAUGAGAAUCUAAUGCCUGAUGAUCUGUCACUGUCUCCCGUCACGCCUUGAUGGGACUGUCUAGUUGCUGGAAAACAAACUCAGGGCUCCCACUGAUUCUACAUUAUGGUGUGUUGUACAAUUAUUUCAUUAUAUAUUACAAGGUAAUAAUAAUAGAAAUAAAAUCCACAGUAAAUGC